GCCCUGAACGAGGGUUCUGGAG
rnacentral:miRNA from 8 species